rnacentral:rRNA from 1 species
GAUGAGGAACGCAGCGAAAUGCGAUAAGUAAUGUGAAUUGCAGAAUUCAGUGAAUCAUCGAAUCUUUGAACGCACCUUGCGCUCCUUGGUAUUCCGAGGAGCAUGCCUGUUUGAGCGUCAUGAAAUCUUCAACCUACAAGCUUUUGUGGUUUUGUAGGC